rnacentral:rRNA from 1 species
GAUGAACGCUAGCGGCAGGCCUAACACAUGCAAGUCGAGGGGUAGAACACUUCGGUGUUUGAGACCGGCGCACGGGUGCGUAACGCGUAUGCAAUCUACCUUGUACAGGGGAAUAGCCCAGAGAAAUUUGGAUUAAUGCCCCAUAGUAUAUAACCUUCGCAUGUUGGUUAUAUUAAAGUUCCAACGGUACAAGAUGAGCAUGCGUCCCAUUAGUUAGUUGGUAAGGUAACGGCUUACCAAGACGAUGAUGGGUCGGGGUCCUGAGAGGGAGAUCCCCCACACUGGUACUGAGACACGGACCAGACUCCUACGGGAGGCAGCAGUGAGGAAUAUUGGUCAAUGGGCGCAAGCCUGAACCAGCCAUGCCGCGUGCAGGAAGACGGUCCUAUGGAUUGUAAACUGCUUUUAUACAGGAAGAAACAACUCUACGUGUAGAGUCUUGACGGUACUGUAGGAAUAAGGAUCGGCUAACUCCGUGCCAGCAGCCGCAGUAAUAC